UACAGAGGUCUCAAGCGUUGUUCGGAUUCAUUGGGCGUAAAGGGUGCGUAGGUGGCAUGGUAAGUCGGAUGUGAAAUCCCGGGGCUCAACCCCGGAACUGCAUUCGAUACUGCCAGGCUAGAGUACUGGAGAGGAGAUUGGAAUUUACGGUGUAGCAGUGAAAUGCGUAGAUAUCGUAAGGAAGACCGGUGGCGAAGGCGGAUCUCUGGACAGUUACUGACACUGAGGCACGAAGGCCAGGGAGCAAACGGG
rnacentral:rRNA from 1 species